GACGUAGGGCGCGAGCGUUGUCCGGAUUUAUUGGGCGUAAAGAGCGUGUAGGCGGCCAGACAGGUCUGCUGUGAAAACUCGAGGCUCAACCUCGAGACGCCGGUGGAAACCGUUUGGCUAGAGUCCGGAAGAGGAGAGGUGGAAUUCCUGGUGUAGCGGUGAAAUGCGCAGAUAUCAGGAAGAACACCCGUGGCUAAGGCGGCUCUCUAGUACGGUACUGACGCUGAGACGCGAAAGCGUGGGGAGCGAACAGG
rnacentral:rRNA from 1 species